rnacentral:lncRNA from 1 species
UUUGUAGUUGUUUAACACUAAUGUGUGCUUUUCGUUGCUGGUUGACUCGCUAACUAAUGGAGAAAAUAAUACUUUAUCUGGAUCCCUUUUGUCCAACGGAAAGGUUGCGUAAAUGGAUUAACGUGUCCAGGUGUCCAUAAACUUCCUUUUUCUUUCCAUUUUGAAGCUCUCUCUCUCUCUUGUAAGGAAAAGAAAAAUGAGGGCCCAAUUAACUCAAAUUCGUAUGAUUCAUUUAUGAUCGAAGCUUACGUGAAAUAUGAAAAGGAGGAGACUUGAAGAAAGAGGGGCCUAGUUGCUCAAAAGUUCGAUCGGAGAAAUUAGAGGGUUAUUUGGUGAUGAUUGACACACACAAAAAAUCUUCGAAACCCAGUUCAUAUUUGGUUUGAUAUCACUAAAUGAAAAGGGGGUUUUGGAGAUAUUUCAGAUUGGGAGCUAAAAUGGGAGCAAAUGCAUAUCUUGAUUUAUUUAUCUUUCCAAUUCAUAUAUAAUAAAUUCUUUUACAAAGGAUGAAUUAAUGAAAUCCAAUCUCAAGUUUUUGUGAUGUAAGAAAUUGUUGAACUUGCAAUCUUUUCUUCAGAAAAAAAUGUGGUUGUCAUGUACGUAGUUGUGUUU